CGCCCAAAACCUAGCUUUAUUUUCUCUUAUGCACUACUGUAAUUUUACUAUAAAAUAAAACAUUUUUAAUUAUUUAGUAGAAGUGAUCAAAAAAUAUCUUUAAAGCUAUAAAAAUAGUACCGCAAGGGAAAGGUGAAAUAAUAAUGAAAUAAUUUUAAAGCACAAAAAAGCAGAGAUUAAAUCUCGUACCUUUUGCAUCAUGGUUUAGCUAGUCUAACCAAGCAAAAUGAAUUUUUAGUUUGACUCCCCGAAACUAAGCGAGCUACUUUCAAACAGCCCUAAGAGCCAACCCGUCUCUGUUGCAAAAGAGUGGGAAGAUUUUAAAGUAGAGGUGAUAAACCUACCGAGCUUAGAGAUAGCUGGUUAUUCAGGAAAAGGAUUUUAGUCCUACCUUAAGUUUCUUAUUAACUUUAAUUAAUUUCAUAAACUUAAGAGCUAUUCAAAUAAGGUACAGCCUGUUUGAAAAAGGAUACAACCUACUUCUUUGGGUAACGAAUUUACUUUUAUAAUUUAAGUGGGCCUAAUAGCAGCCACCUUUCAAAAAGCGUUAAAGCUUAAUUAUAAUUUUCACUUAAUUCCCCAUCUCCAUCGAAACCCUCCACCAAUACUGAAUGACUUCAUACUUUAUGAAGGACCAUAUGUUAAAACUAGUAACAAGAAGAAGACCUUCUCCAAAAUGCAAGCGUAAGUCAUAAUGAACAAUUCACUGACACUUAACGUUUAUGAAUCAUAAGUAACAACCCACACAAGAAAACCUUACCUAAAUUAACGUCAACCUUACACUAGCGCAUUUCAUGUAAAGAUUAAAAGAAGGGGAAGGAACUCGGCAAAUUUUAACCUCGCCUGUUUACCAAAAACAUCGCCUCCUGACAAUCAUAGGAGGUCCAGCCUGCCCAGUGACAAAGUUAAACGGCCGCGGUACCCUAACCGUGCAAAGGUAGCACAAUCACUUGUUCUUUAAAUGAGGACUAGUAUGAACGGCAUCACGAAGGUUAUACUGUCUCCCCCCUCCAAUCAGUGAAACUGACCUCCCCGUGAAGAAGCGGGGAUACUAUUAUAAGACGAGAAGACCCCAUGGAGCUUUAAACUCAGAAUCACCUGCUUCAACCCACAGCCUCCCAACUAAGCAAUCCUGACUCUCUAGUUUUCGGUUGGGGUGACCACGGAGUAAAAAUAAACCUCCACGACGAAAGGAACUACUCUCCUAAUCCAAGAGCUACAGCUCUAAGAAUCAAAUUAUUGACAAAAUUGAUCCAAAUUUCUUUGAUCAACGAACCAAGUUACCCUGGGGAUAACAGCGCAAUCCAUUUCAAGAGCCCCUAUCGACAAAUGGGUUUACGACCUCGAUGUUGGAUCAGGGUAUCCUAGUGGCGCAGCCGCUACUAAAGGUUCGUUUGUUCAAC
rnacentral:rRNA from 1 species